UAAUCACAAUACUAAAAGCCAAAUAUGGUGCAAGGAGAAGCAUGCCACGUCAAUUAAAAUAAUCCACCAAUCAGAAGUUUUCUUUUUGACAUGUCAUUGUUUCUUCUGUCAAAAUGAAAACUAGUGGGUUCGUAUGGGCUGAAUCUAUUUGUAGUAGCCCAAAUUGACACACUAUAGAACUCGAACAUACUUCGUCUUCUCCGUGUCAGCUUCAUGAAAUUUCCGUUAUCGACCCAUCUCUUAACAAUUAAUUAUAUUCAUUACUAUCGACUUUAUGAGUUCGUUUCGCUUUACUUUGUUUCUCCAUCUGUAUAAAACCUCCGGCUAUACUUUAAUCCACCCAGAAACACUAACCUCCAUUGAAGAAGCUGGAGCUAUGGCAAUGAAACCCAACGGAAAGUCUCCCCUCUCCACCGGAAACUCUGGCUUUGUAUUACUGUAGAUCAGUGCCGGAAUGGUCGUCUACUAGAUCACAAGAUGAGACCUUCAAAUAUUUGGAGCCAGAGCUCUAUGGUGACAACGGAGAUGCCAUGGAAAUAACGGGAUAAUGAAAUUCUUCUUUCAUUUCUUCUCCUGAAACAUUUUCAAAGAAGAAACAACUAUAAAAGCGUAGUUUUUGGAAUUUCAGAUCCUUAAGGUAAUUGAUUUGUCAGCCAAAUGGAUUUCAUAGCUUCCAAUGAAUAGUUGUCCUAAACACAAAUUUAUGGAUGUCAAUUGUGAAGAGGCUCUUUUAUUCAGUUUGCUUACUUACUUCUAUAACAGGUUGAGCGAAGCUCACUGGACAUCCUACUGUGUUCUCAGUGCACCACUGCUUAGUUGAAGUCAAAGUUUUCCCCUAACAUUUUUCCUCUAUUCUUAUAGUGACUGCUAUCAACAUGGGAUUGAGUAACUCUUUUCAAAUAUUCGAUGGUUAGUCUCUGCUGAUUUUUCCACUACAUAGUCUCAUAUUAAAUAUUACGUUUGCUAUUCUAAUCGUGUACUUCAGACAUUAGCUUCGUAUAGAUCUUAGCAUCCUAAUACCUACUAAGAGUUGUGAAGCUUCUUCUACAUCUACACUAAUGCAUGUGAUUGUUUAUCGUCGUUUGUAGAUUAUGGCUCUUUCAAGUGAUUUCCCUGGAGUGUAUACAGAAGCUAUUAUAAUAAGAGGCCUAUAAAGAAUAUAAAAGUACAGAACUUAUUGUUGUAUGUCUUUGGGAUGGCUUUUAGUGUUGUUGCUAUAGUGAUCCAGAUUUCGAUGCCAUCGCAAAUAAGUUAAGACAAAACU